GAGGGAUUAGCGCAGUUGGUUAGCGCGUCAGGUUGUGGCCCUGAAGGCCGUGGGUUCGAAUCCCAUAUCUCUCCCCA
rnacentral:tRNA from 2 species